UUGGAGAUUUACACAGGUUGGUCAGAAAUGGAAACCCAAAAGGGUUUCUAGGCAUGAUGAACAGUAGCAGAAAAUUUUAUUUUUCACGUAACAUACAUUUUUGUACUUAAAAAGCAUGAGGGGCGUAGCUGUACCAAUGCGAAACGC